AUUGUCAUUGUUUUCUUUAAAUAUAAUACAUUUUAUUUCACUUACCCCCCACGAAAACACGAUUUCAGCCAUAUUUUGCAGUCUUGUUUGCCUUUUAUCGCCGAAUCUGGCAAAUAUCAUCCAGUUGUUGUACUUUUACAUAAUCAUAAAUGGCUGAAGAAGAUUUCAAAAAAGGUUUCAUCAAGUUGUGAGACAGUGCAGUGUAUUUUACCUUCGAUAUUGUGUCCUUCGAUAUUUCGUCAAAUUGCCGCCAUUUUAAUGGCUCGCCGCUUCUCUGCCCGAUAAAUGCCACUUCUUCGUUUUCAUAUGUAUUUAGAUUACAGUAUCCAAGAGUACUUCAUUGUAGAAUAGUCCCAAUCGAAAAAUUGACAACAUUUGUCCCAUUUAGAAGGAAAAACCCUCCCGUAUACCAUUUAGGUUCAAACGUUUCGUGAAAAUAUUCACCCCCCCUGUCAUGUGUCCACGAGAAGUUUUCGCGAAGAUUGCGCGUGACUUUCAAAUGAUUUGUUUUUUAUUUUGAAGCUAUAUGGUAUACAGGAGGGUUUUUCCUUCCAAAUGGGACAAAUAUUGUCAAUUUUUCGA